AAAUCAACCUGGAUCCCUUCCUUCACAAUAAUCUCAUGGAGGUAAUUUAAAGAAUCCCUUUUUUGGAGAAUCAGAGAGAAAAGCAACAAAAAAGAGCAUGAGGAAUUUGAAGACUGAGAGAUGAGUUGUGUAGCACCAACAUUUUCUUUCUGCCUGACCUUAAUAUCUGAUGAAUUAAAAGUACUGGUGACAGUCACAGUUUCCCUCUGUCUUUUGGCUGUCAACACUGAAGGAUGAUAGAGAUGAGUAGAAGAAGGCCAAACCCAGCUAUCACCAGAACAGGGCCUCCUAGCUUUGUGAGCAUUUCACAGUAUUAUCUGGAGCUGUUUGGCUUAUAGAAGAGGGAAGGUACUAUGAGCUAAUUUGCCUCAAGCUACUCCUCACAGCUAUAGGCAGGAAGUGCUAUUUCCU
rnacentral:sRNA from 1 species